rnacentral:rRNA from 1 species
GAUGAACGCUAGCGGGAGGCUUAACACAUGCAAGUCGAGGGGUAACAUGAGGUAGCAAUACUUUGAUGACGACCGGCGCACGGGUGAGUAACACGUAUGCAACCUACCCUGUACAGGGGGAUAGCCCGGAGAAAUUCGGAUUAAUACCCCAUAAAGAUAUUUAGAGGCAUCUUUAAAUAUUUAAAGUUUCGACGGUACGGGAUGGGCAUGCGCAACAUUAGCUAGUUGGUAGGGUAACGGCCUACCAAGGCUACGAUGUUUAGGGGACCUGAGAGGGUGAUCCCCCACACUGGUACUGAGACACGGACCAGACUCCUACGGGAGGCAGCAGUGAGGAAUAUUGGUCAAUGGGCGUAAGCCUGAACCAGCCAUCCCGCGUGAAGGAAGAAGGCGCUAUGCGUUGUAAACUUCUUUUUCGGGGGAAGAAAACCCGCUACGAGUAGCGGCUUGCCGGUACCCUGGGAAUAAGCAUCGGCUAACUCCGUGCCAGCCGCCGCAGUAAAAC